rnacentral:rRNA from 1 species
GUGAGGAAUAUUGGACAAUGGGCGCAAGCCUGAUCCAGCCAUGCCGCGUGCAGGAAGACGCAUCUAUGGUGUGUAAACUGCUUUUGUACGGGAAGAAACACUCCCUCGUGAGGGAGCUUGACGGUACCGUAAGAAUAAGGAUCGGCUAACUCCGUGCCAGCAGCCGCGGUAAUACGGAGGAUCCAAGCGUUAUCCGGAAUCAUUGGGUUUAAAGGGUCCGUAGGCGGUUUAAUAAGUCAGUGGUGAAAGCCCAUCGCUCAACGAUGGAACGGCCAUUGAUACUGUUAGACUUGAAUUACAAGGAAGUAACUAGAAUAUGUAGUGUAGCGGUGAAAUGCUUAGAUAUUACAUGGAAUACCAAUUGCGAAGGCAGGUUACUACUUGUGGAUUGACGCUGAUGGACGAAAGCGUGGGGAGCGAACAGGAUUAGAUACACCGGUAGUCC